UCCAUGGAAGGCAGUGCUGGACCAAUGGAACCUUAGAUGCUUAAGGAUAAAGAGCCUUCAUUUUGCAGGUGUACUUAACUCUUUCUUCUAUUUGCUUGAAGCUACAAAUGUGACAAGGUGCCUCAUCAUCACAGGACAGAUCUAAGGGAAGAUUACACAGGCUCCUUUUGAAAAUAACAAAAAUUAAAUCUUAAAGAGAGAAAGGGUGAAAAAAGCUAUGUUAUGAACUGUGAUUGGUUUGGGCUGCACUAACAUGCUUCAUCCCUGAUUUCCCUUUGUAGCUUCAAUCUCUUCCUUUGUGUAAGUAACCAUGCAUCAGGGCGCUACUAGUUAAGGAAUAGUUAUACUUUUAACAUAGGUACUCAUGGUUCUUCUUGCUCUCCUAAAAAGUUAGGUCAGGUCAUUUCUUGUAUACCGAGAAAGAAAGGUAAGUUCUAGUUCAGACAAUUGCUACACAUCAUUUGUCGAUCUCAGCCUGGAGCAAAGGUCUCCAGGGUAAAGGUUUUCAUGCUUUCAUAAAUCUAAACUUCUGAGGAAGACAACAGUGCACAGACAAGUCUCUUAAAUAAAUCUGCAGAGCACCAUAACAGUUGCAGCUAUUAACUGAGGCCUUGCAAGCACAUUCAUUAAUUCUGUCUACUAAUGAUAGCCCAAAGCCUGCAGCAGGUCUUUAUGAGGGUAGGUGUGUUCUGGUGACCUUGCAUAAGUAUUCACCUGGUGGUUCUUCUUCCAAACUUUGCACAACAAGAAUGAUCACUGCUAAGGAACAGAUGUGCUUAACAUCAAAAAAAGCUCCAGUUCUUUGGGCUGGGGAACAAACUCAGGGGCAUGUGUCAUGUAUUUCACAAAGAUGGUGUAAAUCUUAUUAUUUGAUAGUUAAUAUUUACAAAGUAUUUUAAAUUCCCCAAGAAAUCAUUAUGAAGUUGUUGUAGACAUUAUCAUUCCUAUUACUGUCAGGAACAAUAUUGUGUUUUAUAAUCUACACAAAUGCUAAUAUUGUUUUGUUUCUUAAGAGUACUUAUGUGCUUUAUAAAAUGUCAUGUAUUGUUCUCUGUGUCCUCUGAUCCACGGUAACUUCAUAAUGAUAUGAAACAUUGACAUUUGGGAAUUGGUUUUUACUGUCUUUUUUUCAUACAGACUUCCAUGGAGGAUUUGCUAAUGGUAUAUGUGUGUGUUUGAAUUAAACCCUUUAAUGCUAGGGGAGGAGAUCAGUUUGACACGGAAUUCAACAGCUGUUGUUUCUUUAAAGAGAAAAGGCCUGCUGGAUUUAAGUGUGUUUGAGUAUAUCUGGUUGACUGAACAGUUUCCUCAAGGAAGUAUUCAUUCAGUCAAUGUCCUGAAGGGUUAAGAAAACAGAAACCCAUAGUGUUACUGAGUUGUUGUUAUGUACGUUGCCAAGGGAACUGUAGCUGGAAUGUUUAAAUGCCUUGUUUCUCCCCAAACCCACAGGAGUGGAGCUUGAGUGUCUUGGUGUGCCCUAAUCCUCACAAUUAGUUUCUGGUGGGUGGGGGGGACUUAUGGGGCUGAUCAGUCUAAACACUUGUAGUGACACUGGGUAACAUUCCCAGCAUGCUGGACAGAGUGACUUUAGCAUCAUACUCAUCGCUUAAGAGAAUCACAACCAAAAGCAGAAAAAGGAGUAUAUUAAAAGCCUUAGAACCCUGUGGAUUUCUUUUAGUAACACAUAUUAUAGAAAUUAAUGAUCUCCAAGGAGAUCUCCUUAAGGCUUUGGUAAGAAAAAUCAUGACACUGAUUGAUCUUGACUCAGAUCUUUAGUAUCGGUAUUGUUUUGUCCCAUAUGCCAUUUAAAUUGCUUCACUGGUGUAAAGAGGGAGGAACCUUUGUUGCAAAUGACCAUUCCAACAGAAGAGGCACAUUUUAGCCUUGUUUCCAUGUAAAGGCCAGGCUCUUGCACUGCAAAAGAUCAGUCUGCAAACAGUCUAAUCAAGCACUCCUUAUUGCCAGAUAAUUGUUGUAAGAAAAAUACUAAAUGUAUCUAUAGAGGUCAACUGUGCCAUAGAUAUUUCAAGAAGCUGGGAACAACCCUUCCAAAGUCUUCCAUUGGGCCAUUGCUCCCAAAAAUGUUUGGCCACCAUGGUUUUUUCAUAGGUGGUUGGCAGCACUGUUAAGUCAAAACUAGCUGAGCAGCACUCCAUCCCUUGUUGAGUCAAACAUUUUUCCAAGCACAAAUUGAUCCACACUUUGACUGAUACAUGUAUUUCUUCUGGUAUGUGGGAGGAUUUGCAUUCAAGGGAAUGUUUUCACUUUUGUGCUUGUACUCCUUCCUAUCACCCAACAUAAGGUUUUUAAUACAGUCCAAGGUAAUUCUGUCUUAAUAUUCUUUGAACCAAGUCUAGUUGCAAUAGAUGUGGAAAACACAGAUUACUUUCUCCUUGCAGCUGCCUCUCAAGUACAAAAGCUUAAUGCUUUCCCAACCUGAAACACCUGAUAAUUCUUAUUGCCUCCAAAGCAGGACCCACAUCUUGAGGUGGAGACAUCCUGAGACAGAGGAUGGUCUCCAGCUGGUCAGUGUUGGUGCAGAUUACUUUUUAUCCAUGAAAGUCCUGUGUACACAUCCUGUUGUGAUGUUUCCCUUUUUUUUGUUCUUUUCUCAGUAUGAAACCAUUGAUCUACAAGCCAAGAGGCCUUUCUUUCUGCAUCCAGAUAAAACAACCUGCCAGCCUCAAACAACACCCUCUUUCUUCGCAUUAGAAAUGGAAACACGUCCUCUGCAGGAAUUUUCCACUUAAUAGCUCCUGCUUUCCUACCGGGGGCCUCAGUGCACCACCACUGCAAUGCUGUAUUUCUUUCCACUGCAGUUUGACAUUUUGCAGCCAGAACAACGAACAGCAUUCACUCCAUCCUGAUUUUUGAAAAACAUAUCUCUAUAGGCCCACAGAACAUACCCAGUGUAGCAAUCACCAGGGGAAAAUGGCAAAGGUAUUUAAACAUCAUUACAUGUCACUGAGACUGUGACAUUGUCUGGUAAAAAUGCUCCUUUAUACAUUUGUUUUUCCUUACUCCCCAUUCCUCCCCCCUCCAACCCUUUAUAGACACACACACACAGACACCAAACCUCUGCCCCUGCUCUCCUACCACCAGCCACUCUCUUGUUCUACACUCGGUUGUAAUUGUUUGCCUUUGUGAAUUAUUUCCUUUGCAUAAUAUUUGCAAACAGUGUAUCAGGUCCUGACACUGUGAGGAGCAGAAAUGCACAUUGCAGAUAAUCUGAGCAGUAAACAAGGAGCCUGCUUUAAAAUGCACCAAGUGACCUGUCUGAAGGCAGCGAUAUUUGCAGAUUGUUUACUGCUGAGAUGCAGUGAUGUCGCUGAAAUGCAGCAGCUUGAAGAUUGGAGCAAAAUGGGAUCUCAGACACUCGGUCAAGCACAACCUGUGAUUUUUUUAUUUACUGUUUUUGUUCUGCUUUUUUUAAAGUUAGAGAUGUAGUAUUAAUUAUUAAAAGCUAUUUUCUAAAAA